GGGCCCGCACAAGCGGUGGAGCAUGUGGUUUAAUUCGAUGCAACGCGAAGAACCUUACCUACCCUUGACAUCAUCAGAACUUGUUAGAGAUAACUCGGUGCCUUCGGGAACUGAUAGACAGGUGCUGCAUGGCUGUCGUCAGCUCGUGUCGUGAGAUGUUGGGUUAAGUCCCGUAACGAGCGCAACCCUUGUUUCUAGUUGCCAGCAUGUAGUGAUGGGGACUCUAGAAAGACUGCCGGUGAUAAGCCGGAGGAAGGCGGGGACGACGUCAAGUCAUCAUGGCCCUUACGGGUAGGGCUACACACGUGCUACAAUGGGCUGUACAGAGGGCGGCGAACUUGAGAGAGUAAGCAAAUCCCAGAAAGCAGCUCGUAGUCCGGAUUGAGGUCUGCAACUCGACCUCAUGAAGUUGGAAUCGCUAGUAAUCGC
rnacentral:rRNA from 1 species